ACGAACGCUGGCGGCGUGCCUAAUACAUGCAAGUCGAACGGCUUUUCUAUGGAAGCUUGCUUCCACUGAGAAGAUAGUGGCGAACGGGUGAGUAACACGUGGGUAACCUGCCCAUAAGAGGGGGAUAACAUCCGGAAACGGGUGCUAAUACCGCAUAGUUUUCUUGAUCGCAUGAUUGAGAAAGGAAAGACGGCCUUUGUGCUGUCGCUUAUGGAUGGACCCGCGGCGUAUUAGUUAGUUGGUGAGGUAACGGCUCACCAAGACGAUGAUACGUAGCCGACCUGAGAGGGUGAUCGGCCACAUUGGGACUGAGACACGGCCCAAACUCCUACGGGAGGCAGCAGUAGGGAAUCUUCCGCAAUGGACGAAAGUCUGACGGAGCAACGCCGCGUGAGUGAAGAAAGGUUUUCGGAUCGUAAAACUCUGUUGUCAGAGAAGAACAAGUUGGAGAGUAACUGCUCCAGCCUUGACGGUAUCUGACCAGAAAGCCACGGCUAACUACGUGCCAGCCGCCGC
rnacentral:rRNA from 1 species